rnacentral:lncRNA from 1 species
GUGGGGUAGGUGGAGCUGAGCGUACAGACUGCUCCGUCGGGCCCUCCGAGAGAUCUACUCCCUCAGAUCUAUCUUUACUGCUUUGCUCCUUCCCCACACUCAUUUUUCUCUAUUCUCUUUUAGCUCUUUUUUUUUGUUUCUGGUCUCCCACUGUUUUGCUUUAUCAAUCAGCCUAGACAAGGUGGGGACCUCUACUGCCAGUACUGCAUUAUAAAGCGGGGAAAUCAGACCUCGUCUGAACCUUUCUAUCCUGGCAGCUUCAGUGGGGAUGAUGUAAGGAGCAUACUUCCCCAAUCUAGUGAACUCACGAGCGUACUCAGAUACGCUCAUUCCGGGCAUCUGCUUCAGCCUCUCAAACUAAAGAGCCCGAUUCUCCCUCUCAGCCGGAGACAAGAACUCAUCCAUCACUGCUUGCCUGAACUCUUCCCAGGUUGGAGGAUUCCUACUGUACAAUCUGUCCUCCACUUGUCUCUGGUACCAACCCCAGGCAUCUUCUUUCAUUGUGAGCCCUACAAGUUCUAUUGCCCUUGCAUCAGAACAGGGCAGUCUUCGUAUCAUCUUUUCAGUCUCCUCCAAAAAUCUCUGAGGAUCUUCACUUUCUUCCCCCUUAAACUCUGGGGUUCUGAGCCUCAGAAAUUCCUGUACAGUAAUCCCCUCAUCAUCUAGAGCCCGCCUGGCCAAACUUCUUGGCACAGGUACAGGAGGUGAGAUGGAUACUACUGACGGGGCAGGAGGUUUCCCCCGAGCAAUCUGCUCUCUCAGAGCCUGAUUCUCCGCCAGUAACUGUUCGAUCAAUGCAUCUCUACUUCCUACCUCUCCUUGAUCAUUAACCCUCCGUCUAUCAGCAGGAGGAGAUUUUUCUCUUUGGGGCUCGACAUGUGCG